GAUGAACGCUGGCGGCAGGCUUAACACAUGCAAGUCGAGCGAGCGGCGGACGGGUGAGUAAUGUCUGGGAAUCUGCCUGAUGGAGGGGGAUAACUACUGGCAACGGUAGCUAAUACCGCAUACCAUCAGAUGUGCCCAGAUGGGAUUAUCUAGUAGGUGGGGUAAUGGCUAACCUAGGCGCCGAACCCUAGCUGGGCUGAGAGGAUGACCAGACACACUGGAACUGAGACACGGUCCAGCCUCCUACGGGAGGCAGCAGUGGGGAAUAUGGCACAAUGGGCGCAAGCCUGAUGCAGCCAUGCCGCGUGUGUGAAGAAGGCCUUCGGGUUGUAAAGCACUUUCAGCGAGGAGGCGUUACUCACAGAAGAAGCACCGGCUAACUCCGUGCCAGCAGCCGCGGUAAUUC
rnacentral:rRNA from 1 species